rnacentral:lncRNA from 1 species
CCAGCAUAUUCCCAUGCGGGGACAUUGCACUUUCCUGGAGGGCAGGGGCUGCAGCUGCAUGCUAUAGUAACUCUAUGCACAGUGGCACCCCUCCAGACUGUAAUGAUCUCCUGUCUUGGCAGGUCCAGCUCUCUGCCUAGAGAAAGCAGCAUCACUGCUCCAGAGGCCCCAUGUGGAAAUGAACCUGAGCCACCCCGGGAAAGGAUCACUCCAGCUUGGGAAGAACAAACCUGCCCCACCACAGACAGUCACCAUGAGAGCCUGGGAGACUGGAGGCACAAUGAGCCUGACCAGGCAGCCAGGUCCAACUUCAGCUCAGAGAGUGCUCUCAGUGGCAAUGAGACCCAGCAGCCUGUGCUACUGUACAUGGACCGCCAGCCCUUUAGCACCAGCAUGUCAGCACCUAGUCACAGGAUACCAUCCUAUGUGGACAGCCAAGCCUUCAGCACCAGAAGGUAAGGGCCUAGGGACGGGGUGCAGAGACAGGGAACGCUGCUGGCACAGAAAUAUGUGCCAGAA